rnacentral:rRNA from 1 species
UGCCAGCAGCCGCGGUAAGACGGCGGGUGCAAGCGUUGUUCGGAAUUACUGGGCGUAAAGCGUACGUAGGCGGUUCGGAAAGUCUGUUGUGAAAUCUCUCGGCUUAACUGGGAGCGGUCAAUGGAAACUUCCGGACUUGAGGAGCGUAGAAGUGAGCGGAAUUCCCGGUGUAGCGGUGAUAUGCGUAGAUAUCGGGAGGAACACCAGUGCGAAAGCGGCUCACUAGGCGCCACCUGACGCUGAGGUACGAAAGCGUGGGGAGCGAACCGGAUUAGAUA